AACGUAGGACGCAAGCGUUUAUCCGGAGUUACUGGGCGUAAAGGGCAGGCAGGCGGGUCGAUAAGUCGGAUGUGAAAUCUCCCUGGCUUAACCGGGAGAGUGCAUUUGAGACUGUCAACCUGGAGGGCAGCAGAGGAGCGUGGAAUUCCGGGUGGAGUGGUGAAAUGCGUAGAGAUCCGGAGGAACACCAGAGGCGAAAGCGGCGCUCUGGGCUGCACCUGACGCUGAACUGCGAAAGCCAGGGGGAGCGAACAGG
rnacentral:rRNA from 1 species